AAGGAUCAUUACCGAGUGAGGGCCCUCUGGGUCCAACCUCCCACCCGUGUCUAUCGUACCUUGUUGCUUCGGCGGGCCCGCCGUUUCGACGGCCGCCGGGGAGGCCUUGCGCCCCCGGGCCCGCGCCCGCCGAAGACCCCAACAUGAACGCUGUUCUGAAAGUAUGCAGUCUGAGUUGAUUAUCGUAAUCAGUUAAAACUUUCAACAACGGAUCUCUUGGUUCCGGCAUCGAUGAAGAACGCAGCGAAAUGCGAUAAGUAAUGUGAAUUGCAGAAUUCAGUGAAUCAUCGAGUCUUUGAACGCACAUUGCGCCCCCUGGUAUUCCGGGGGGCAUGCCUGUCCGAGCGUCAUUGCUGCCCUCAAGCACGGCUUGUGUGUUGGGCCCCCGUCCCCCUCUCCCGGGGGACGGGCCCGAAAGGCAGCGGCGGCACCGCGUCCGGUCCUCGAGCGUAUGGGGCUUUGUCACCUGCUCUGUAGGCCCGGCCGGCGCCAGCCGACACCCAACUUUAUUUUUCUAAGGUUGACCUCGGAUCAGGUAGGGAUACCCGCUGAACUUAAGCAUAUCAAUAAGCGGAGGAAAAGAAACCAACAGGGAUUGCCUCAGUAACGGCGAGUGAAGCGGCAAGAGCUCAAAUUUGAAAGCUGGCCCCUUCGGGGUCCGCGUUGUAAUUUGCAGAGGAUGCUUCGGGUGCAGCCCCCGUCUAAGUGCCCUGGAACGGGCCGUCAUAGAGGGUGAGAAUCCCGUCUGGGACGGGGUGUCUGCGUCCGUGUGAAGCUCCUUCGACGAGUCGAGUUGUUUGGGAAUGCAGCUCUAAAUGGGUGGUAAAUUUCAUCUAAAGCUAAAUACUGGCCGGAGACCGAUAGCGCACAAGUAGAGUGAUCGAAAGAUGAAAAGCACUUUGAAAAGAGAGUUAAACAGCACGUGAAAUUGUUGAAAGGGAAGCGUUUGCGACCAGACUCGCCCGCGGGGUUCAGCCGGCAUUCGUGCCGGUGUACUUCCCCGUGGGCGGGCCAGCGUCGGUUUGGGCGGCCGGUCAAAGGCCCUCGGAAUGUAUCACCUCUCGGGGUGUCUUAUAGCCGAGGGUGCAAUGCGGCCUGCCUGGACCGAGGAACGCGCUUCGGCUCGGACGCUGGCGUAAUGGUCGUAAAUGACC
rnacentral:rRNA from 1 species